rnacentral:rRNA from 1 species
AUGUCUUCCAGUUGGUUCUGUUUUGUUUACAUACUUGGUUCUUUUCCUUGGGUGAUGGCAGUGACGAUUUGCAAAUAUUCAAGCUCAACAGACCAAAUCACAGGUUUUCUCUCAGGAGUUGAUUUGUAUGCCGAUUAUCCCGCUGAACCGAGCCAUCCGUACCUAAUUUUUUCUGCCGUUCAUUGUUCUUUUCGUUGUCCUUUUGUGUUUGAUUUUGUUUGUUGUUUUGGGCAACGUAGUUGCGAUGAGGAUAACAAGCUCCCUCUUCUGAAAGCAUUGACGACCUCGCUGGCAGAAUCGAACCAAUUAAAUAUUGCCACCACUGAGCAACUUGAUCUUAAUCUCUUUUUGCUUUGUUGA